rnacentral:sRNA from 1 species
AGAGCCAGUGCCCGGAGGCCAACACCCUGGUCUUCAGUCACUGGGAGUCACAGAGAGGGGCCCGAUAAAGAGCCCUCCUGGCAGCAUCAGUACCAGAUGCUGCUUCUCAGGGUGGGGUCCCUGAGGCCUGGAGUGCGGCCUCUGACGACCUUCAGGGCCAGGUGCGGAAUGAGAGCCUGUGGCCACAUGGCCCCUGGUGGGAGACGUCCCGCCGCCCUUUGCUUCUCUGUGCCACUCUGGCUGCACAGUUCAGACCCUUGGGAAACGUUAACCAGUAGGACCUAGAAGGGGAGCUGGACCCGCAGGCCCUGCAGGACAGAGACUGGCAGCGCACCGUCAUCGCCAUGAAUGGGAUCGAAGUAAAGCUCUCGGUCAAGUUCAACAGCAGGGAGUUCAGCUUGAAGAGGAUGCCAUCCCGAAAACAGACAGGGGUCUUCGGAGUCAAGAUUGCUGUGGUCACCAA